UAAAAUAACAGCGACAACAAGUCUCCAAGCUUUUCACUGUCUAGUCACUGCCUGGAGAAAGAUAUGGCUGGAGGCGUAGUUCGUGGAAAAUCCUCAGGUUGGAGUAAUCCUGUUAUUCGUGCAAGCAUGCCAACUCUUCCCAAGCCCACUAGAUUUUCUCCUAGUAAAGGUGGUACCCCGAGCAAUAUUGUAACGUCAACUCAGAGUACUAUCCCAAUCAUCUCAAAGACACCUCCAGUUACACCAAAUGAGAGUAACCGAACAGGUAUGGUUUGAGGCAGAGGUCGUUGAAAAUCCUCAGGUAAGAAUAAUCCUUCUAUUCGUGUCAACAUGCAAACUAUUCCCAAGCCCACUACAAUUUCUCCUCAACAAGGUGGUACCCCCACCAAUAUUGAAAUGUUAACUCAAAGUACUAGCCCAACCAUCUCCGAGACACCUCCAGCUACAUUAAAUGACAGUAACCUAAUAGGUCAAGGUCUUUCUACCCGUAGCAAUGUUCCAACUGGUCAUACAAAUAUACAGUUGCUGAAGGUGAAUCCAACAGUAGCCAUCGAAGGACCCUUGUCUUUUUAACUUCUUCAGAGUUAGUCUAUUCUUUUAAUUUUGUUCCUACUUGUUGUAUUGAUGACACUUGCUGUCUUUGAAUUAUGGUUUAUGAUAGCCCUCCUAAUAACCUCUUCUAAUUCAUACAGACUGGAACCUUCUCAAAUAUGCUCUAGUUUAUAUCCAAAUCUUUCCAAAAUGUGGUUGAUCUCAAUUGAAUCAAUUAGUAAGGUGUUUCAAAUGAUGUAAGAAAUGGUUAUUUUGGAGAA